rnacentral:rRNA from 1 species
UACGACGGGGGCGAGCGUUGCUCGGAAUCACUGGGCGUAAAGCGCACGUAGGCGGCUUUCUAAGUCAGGGGUGAAAUCCUGGAGCUCAACUCCAGAACUGCCUUUGAUACUGGAGAGCUUGAGUCCGGGAGAGGUGAGUGGAACUCCGAGUGUAGAGGUGAAAUUCGUAGAUAUUCGGAAGAACACCAGUGGCGAAGGCGGCUCACUGGCCCGGUACUGACGCUGAGGUGCGAAAGCGUGGGGAGCAAACAGG